AUACGGAGGGUCCAAGCGUUAUCCGGAAUCAUUGGGUUUAAAGGGUCCGCAGGCGGUCAAUUAAGUCAGAGGUGAAAGCCCAUCGCUCAACGAUGGAACUGCCUUUGAUACUGGUUGACUUGAGUUAUACGGAAGUAGAUAGAAUAAGUAGUGUAGCGGUGAAAUGCAUAGAUAUUACUUAGAAUACCGAUUGCGAAGGCAGUCUACUACGUAUAUACUGACGCUAAGGGACGAAAGCGUGGGGAGCGAACAGGAUUAGAAACCCCUGUAGUCC
rnacentral:rRNA from 1 species